AAAAUAGCAUUUUAGCCGCAGCUUGCAGGAGACUAUAGGAACACAAGGCAGUAGUAGAUGGAAGGUUUUUAAUUUUCUUGCUUUUAUUCCAAACAAAGCUGGAAGGAAGUCUGUGCGUGAUCAAUCUUUCUUGCCAAAUGGUUUGACAGCUUCUGGCCCUAAAGAUCACAUUUAAAGCUUCUUGUUUCUUCCAAGAUCAAAUGUUACUGGGAAAGAGGUUUCAGGGAGAAAUGCAGCUAAAGAAGAGCUAGUAAAACUUCUCCUUGCUUGUUUUCUUGGGAUAUAUCCACAUGGCAGCCACCCACAGAAAUGUCCAUUACCAGGGAAAAGUGUAGGAGUGAAAUGUGCAGUUUCUUACAAUGAGCACCACCAGAAGAGGCAGAGGGAAGAAAUCAUUCCUUGUGAACAGAUGCCUGGGAGCUGAUGCUGCAGAUUGGAGCACAACAUGGCGUAAGAAGCCCAUCAGCACAAAGCUAUUACCUACCGGACCUCCAUUAUCGGCCAUCUUAUCAAUCAACUCUCCCUCUCUCUCAGCUACAAAAGAAGCUGCUGUUUCCUUCCCUACCUUCAAAUGCUGCUGCAGUGACUUGACAAGACCUUACCAUGGUUGGAACUGCUUGUAUUAAAUAUAUAUAUAUAUAUAUAUAUAUAUAUAUAUAUAUAUAUAUAUAUAUAUAUAUAAACCCUUUCAUGCGUGUAUUUAUGUAUAUAAAGGAAUAUGCAAAUGCUGAUAUUUUAUCUACCAUUUUAUUGCAUCUUUAAAGAGAAUUAUUCUUUUUACCAUCGUUGCCUGUGCCAUUAU